CAGAAAAAUGGGGUCAAGUGGGAAGAGGGGGAGGGGUCUUCCCCUCUCUUAAAUCCAGCUUGUCUCGUAUCAUUCAUCCCCUAUGUGAACAUGUGCGCAUGCUGGUACAGGUCUCGCUUAGUGAUCUGGAAGGCUUGCGACUCCUAUAUACCCCCAUAGAUGAAUCUUAGAAUGUACCUUGCGUUUUAUCGCAUCCAAUA
rnacentral:misc_RNA from 1 species